UGGCUAUUAUAAAUAUUGUUGGUAUGACUAUGAGUGAACAAAAAUGGCUCUUUUCUGUUUUCAUUUCGGUGGUGGCUAUCCUGUUUUUUGUUCAUUUGUUCAUUCGAUCAUUUGUUUGUUUUAUAAACUUGACACAAGCUAGAGUCAUCUGGGAAGAGGAACCUCAAUUGAGAAACUGCCUCCAACAGUUUAGCCUGUGGGGUAAGCUUCUGGACUAGUGAUUGAUAGGGAAGGGCCCAGAAACAGUGGGUGUUGCUAUCUCUGGGGUCCUGGGUGAUAUAAGAAAGCAGGCCGUUUGAGCCGUGAGAAACAAACCAGUAACCAUCUCUCUCCCAUGUUGUCUGCUUCAGUUCCUGCCUUGAGGUUCCUGCCUUGAGUAUCUACCCUGACUUCCCUCUGUGGUGGAUUGUGACAUGGAAAUGUAAGACUGACUGCCAAUAUCACAUGACUUAAGACCUCCACCCAUGAAGGAUUAUGAUGCUUUGAAAAGGAAGAUGAAAGAUCAAAGGCACCAGAGUGAAUAGGAAUGGGAACAAUACUAAGAACAUAAAGAUUUGAAGGCUAAAGUUUAUAUAAAAGGUUAUUAUUAAAAUAUUUUCAAGGACAGGGGGUGAAGGGCUACAAGAUGGAAACAGCGUUAGAACUACCAUGAUUCCCAGCAUCCUCUGCCAAAUAUUAACUCAAGCUCACACAUGUGCUAGCAUUGCCCUUAAUCUCUGUUACAAGUCUCCAGGGUCUGUAUUUCCCAUUUUACAGAUAAAGAAACUGAGAGUAAGGGACCAAAGGCGAACAGGCAAAAUGAGCUGGUGUUUAUUUGAAUCCAAUAUCAAUGGUCUCCACUCCAUAACCUGUCAAUAAAACCCCAAGGAAGCCUGUCUUACAAUGAUAGAUGUAAUGGGCUCUACAGGUCUAUAUGCAUCCCCCACCUUAUAGCUAACUCCGUAUGUCAGUUCUCACAGAGUAACUAUCUGGUCCUUUGUGACUGACACGGGAGUAUGUCUGUAUCAUUUCUGAAUGGUGAGGUCUCUUUGUGUAGCAUAAAGAAUGCUGGUGGGAAAACAAAGAGGAGUGAUUCCUUCCAUUCAUGCUGAGAAGUCGACUGGGGAUUUAGCUCAGUGGUAGAGCGCUUACCUAGGAAGCGCAAGGUCCUGGGUUCAGUCCCCAGCUCCGAAAAAAAGAACCAAAAAAAAAACAAAAACCAAAAAAAAAAAAAAAACAUGCUGAGAAGUCAUUGCACCAAACAACAGAAAGGUUCUCUUUACAAAGGAGGAGAGAGCCAGGCGAGGCACCAUGGAGCUGUCUAGAGGAAAGGCGUAAGAACGGAGCGUGUGUCAGCAAAAGAAUGGAGAUGAGGAAGCUUCAGUUGUGUUCAGAAUGGGGCGUACAGCAGGGUGCAAAGAGGGCAUCCAGCCUGGAAGAGCAGGCUACGGUGCCUCUCGUGACAUGAUUUAGAUGUGGUUUGUCCCCACCAAAGCUCCUUUUGAAGUCCUAACUGACACUGUGGCAGUACUGAGAAGGAACUUCAAGAAGUAGUUGGGUCUUUAAGGGGAAUUAACGCAAUUCUCCCAAGAUUGGAUUAGCUGCCGUGAGAACAAGAUGUUCUAAGCCAAGGCAGCCACUGGUGCCUUAGCUCCUCCACAGAUCACUGCGUGUUUGCGGUCUUGUCGUGAUGUAUCCUGAGCCCUUUACCAGAUGAAGCUGCCUUGUCUGGACUUUCAACCACCAGCACUCGGAGCUAAAUAAACUUCUUCCCUUUACAAAUUGUCCGAUCUCAGAUUUUCUAUCUGUAGAUAGAAUGUCAUACCAGAUGUAAUAUCAGAAAACAGAUUGAGAAAAAAGGAUUGGCAGUGAGAGGCACUAAGGGUUUCGUGGCAGGUGAGCAGCCUGACGUUACCUAUAUUUUAAUGUAUUCUCUUCACUGCCUGGGACCGAGCAUGCCAACACAGUGGUAUAGCACUUGCCUGAUAUGCAUGGAGCCCUAGGCCUGAAAGGAAAAUAAAAAAGAUCAUUAACUUGGAACACGGAAGUAGGAGGAUCAGGAGGAUCACGUUGAAGGCCAGCCUUGGUUCUAUGUGACCUUGUCUGAAAGUAAACAGUGACAAAAAAGAGGGGAGGAAACGGUCACUAGAGCUGAUGGUUGCACUUGUGACACAGAGAGUGAAAGAGGCGAAGGUGUGGCCAUGACAUUCUGUCUAUGCGGAGUUUCGGGCAGUGAAAGGGGACAUUUCAGGGAAGCUGUUGGGUUUGGUCCUUCAAAGAACUCAUAGUACAUCCCCAUCUCUCCUGACAUUCUCUCAAGUUUCUGAUGAGGAAGCCUGCUGGGGAACAGCAGGACCUUCAUUUCCACAGCACUGAAAGGCCUGGGUAUUUUAUCGGUUGAACAAAUACUUUAGAGCCAGAGUUUGAAGUGCAGACGGAAGUCAUUGUCUCUAGUACUUGGGAAUUCAUCAGCAGACAGCCAACAGUGAAAGGCCGAGAACAAGAUGGACUGAUUAAGAGGACAAGGCUCCGAUCUCUUCCUGGCAAAUCAUCUCUCACAAUCAAACCACUCCCCACUCCCCAGAGCUCACAGAUUGGAAACUGAGCCUUUAAAACCGUUCUGUGGGGAGAUCCACAACAACAGCCAGAGACUGCUAAUCUCCGAGGUGAGUACUGCUAAGGGGGUCAGAGAAGUGGGAGGGUCUGACACUGGUCAGAAGGCAGACGCCAUGCUCAAGGUUUCAGAGAUGAAACAUCUUCAAGAGAUGACGAAACCUGGAGUGUAUUCAUGGGUGUGAAUGGUUGAAGUGGGCUAGAAGUGACCGAUUGGCACACUGAAGUUCACUCUUCAGACCUUUUCUGAUACA